rnacentral:lncRNA from 1 species
AAUUAAUUAUUAAUAUUUAAUUAAAUGUUCGUGUAAAAAGUUUUAAAUACAGAUUAAAUCCUAUUAAUAGUGUAAUAAUAAGCAAAAGCAAAACUCACAAGAAUUAACUCCUCAUCUUUAGCAGCACAAUGUGGAGCAGGACAAACCCUAAUAUUAGAACCACUAUUAUUCCUAAUAUUACUUAUAUUCUUCCCUCCUUUCCCAACAAUAGCACCAACUUGAGAACUAUGUGCCAACAAUUUC